CAGAGGUCAAUCACAGUGAAAGUACAAGUUUAUGUGGUGUUGUGUCAUAACUAUUACAUUUUUAUAUGUUUGCUGCCAUGCGCCGUGGACUUCAAACUUAAUGCCACUGUAAACAGUUAUACUUGGUGUUAUCUCUGUGAAUUAUCCCAAUAAUGACAUGUGACACCUGGGUUUUGAAUUGACAUUUGGUAUUAAUCAGUGCUCUUUUUAUCCUAACUUCGGUCACACUGUGAUGUUUGUUCAAAUUUAGGUGAGAGAAGUACAUAGUGCACUUAAGUAGUACUUUUAAGGGGAGUUUUUAUUCCUUUGUUCAGGAAAACACAAAAACACAAGUGGACACAACUGUCCAGAGUAGGACAACCAACAGAUUCAGACUAUUUAACUUUAACCAUGUUGGACAAUCAGAGACCUCAAAAAUAUUAUUGGUUCUGGUCAGCUACCAGCAAUGCUGCAUGGAGAAAUGAGGGAACUGUAUGUGUGGACUAAUUCUGACACCCGUUUGUCAGUACAGUGAAACAGUAAUUGUGUUUUAAUGUGUAAACAUGUACAGGUCCUGUUAGCAAAGUCAGCAGCAGGACUAUUUUGAUAACAUCUUCAAUUGCACAAAAUUGCCUCAUGUACGUAUAUAAAGAAGGUAAUGGUGCACACUCUUACAUGACAAAUAAAAAAACUCAAUUUUCUCUGUUCAUCAAUACUGCUGUUCUGAAAUUCUUUGUCUUGGAAGACAUAUAGAAAAAAUUAUGUUUUAAAAAACAAAUAUGUAUGUGUGGACAAGUCCUAAGUGAGUAUUUGUCAUGUGACUUUUAUUUUGCGUAUCAUAACGUUUUCUUAAGACUCUAUUGGCAACUACAUUGUCAAACCCAAAUACUUCCACACACUAAUUCCCCUGAUCACCCGGUCAACACAUCUUUGCUCACAAUAGCAGGUGAAAUUUACUAACCUGCAGUCAUUCACAUGCAACUUACAACAAAGAAAACAUUAACAACACCAACUC